CCUACGGGUGGCUGCAGUGGGGAAUAUUGCACAAUGGACGAAAGUCUGAUGCAGCAACGCCGCGUGGAGGAUGACACAUUUCGGUGCGUAAACUCCUUUUAUAUAGGAAGAUAAUGACGGUACUAUAUGAAUAAGCACCGGCUAACUCCGUGCCAGCAGCCGCGGUAAUACGGAGGGUGCAAGCGUUACUCGGAAUCACUGGGCGUAAAGAGCGUGUAGGCGGGUAUAUAAGUCAGAAGUGAAAUCCUAUAGCUUAACUAUAGAACUGCUUUUGA
rnacentral:rRNA from 1 species